UGUGCCAUACGGGCUACACACGCUCCCACUAAUGCCCAGCAAAUCCUCUCCAGAAGAGAACCACAGCCUGGGAGAGGUGAGCUGGCAGCGUGCUCACCGCAGGCGGGGAUAGGAUCCCAACACGGGCUCCCUGGCCCAGGAUGGGGUGGCCAGCCACGUGGGCGUCCAGGAGAGGGGCAGGGCCACUGUGAACAGCAGAAGCUCCGCAGUGGGAAGCAGCAGAAACUGAACCCCAGCCUCCACCCUGCACAGCCUGGCUGCUGGGGUGUUCUCAACAGAGGAUCGACUUCUCUGGCCUCCGCUGCCUCUGAAGUAACCGGAGGAGAGACAUCCCCACCUGCCUGUGGCUGACGAUGGGUACAGCUGACCACUCCACCAUCCAGAAGCACUGGACUGAGGCAGGCGGCAUUUUUACAUCUCCCAGUCUACAAUGUGAGCUGCUCCUUCAGUGCCAGGCCCUGCUGCCUACCUUCCCACCUUCAGCCUGCACUGAACACAGCCCCUGGCACAUCUGAGGGACCUGCUGCUUGAGCUUGGCUUCACACAUAGGCCCCUGAUGUCCUGCUCUUCCCCUCCUCUUGAUGAGGUUACUGGUCUAGGUCUGCAUGAGAGGGACCUGCAGUGAGAAGAGUUGAGCAGCUGGAAGGCAGAGUGGGGGACCAGAAGGGACUCAGGAUGUCCACAGGGUGGUGACGGUCUCUGAGCAGGGCACUGGUCUCUGAGAACACUGAAGGCACCAAGGAAGCUGAGACCAGGUAAGAGCUUAGACAGAGCCCGGUGUGCCCACUGUGGGCACACCGGGCUCUGUGUGCCCAGGGGCCACAGGAAGCCCCAUGGGCGGGAGAAGGGUGGCCAUCCACCCCUCCACCCCUAUCUCCAGAUUACUACAGUAAUUUUCAUUUUCAGAAAUGGCAAGUUCUUCUUCCCUGACCUCAGUGGGACUAGGGAGGAGGAGCUCUCUCUCAGAUCCCCAGACUGUCAUUCUCCGGGGCAGGGGGGAGGCUGUAGCUGGACCCCAGGCAGCCUGCGAGCCCUGCAGCUCCAGCACUGUCCCAGGAGGCUCUGAGGGGAACCGCAGGAGGUAAUUCCCAGCCUGCAAGCCACAGGGGAUGAGGCAGCAGGGCAUCCUGCUUAGGGAGAAGCCCCACAGUCCCCUUGUGUUUCCCCCACACCUGGCCCCAAGGAGAGAACAGGAGGGGCUGACUGGCCAGCACAGGGGCACCAGGAGCAGGCACAUAGCAGCAUUCCAGCCGCCAUACGGCCAAAUCCCACCUCUCUGUCACCAUGGCAACACUUCCUGUGUGGGGCAGGGCAGUUGGAGGAGCAGCCCUGGGCUCCUGGGGUCCUUCCUCAGGGCCAGGGGACCUUCUCUGGUGUAAGACCCCCACCACCCACCUAUUCUCCUUCCCGGCCAGGCUCAGUCCUGGGUUCCAGAUGCUGGCUCCGGGACCUGCCUGAUGCAUACAAAAGGCACAGGGCCACCAGGCCACGCCAGAGGUCAGAGGGCUCACUCCAGGCCAGUCCUAACCCUGGUGAGGGUGCUGAAGCCUCACAACUCCCUGGACACUCGCUUUGCUGCAAGCUACUUCCCUGGCAUGCCCAUGGCUUCAGGGCCUGCCCUCCCACCCCUCCACACCCCCCCCCCCCCCCCCCACCGGGCUCUGGCACUGUGAACAGGCUUUGGUGUCAGACGGAGCCUGCCUGGGCCACCCAGCUGUGACCCUGGGACAGAAAUGACCAAUGGGCCAACUUUACAGGGCAAUCAUGAGGGUGAAAAAAGACUGUGUGUGCCAAGGGCCCGGAGUAUGAUAAAUGGUCAUAAAUGGAAUCUAGAAAUGAAGUAGGGGAUGUGAACAGGAGACGGCUGCCCAAGCAUCCCCUGACUCAAACUCAGGUCACACAGGGCCCAAAGAGGCAGCAGGAGGUGGACCCCCCAGGGCUCCCCACCAGCCUCCAUGCUACGGUGACAGCCAACGGGGCAGGGAGGGCAGCGCAUCCUCCCGUGACUCCCCCAACAAAGCCCCCCUUCUAGUGGGGAAAGAGGAUCUCCAAAGAAGGAGCUCCCCAAAGGCCUCUCCCCUGAGCUGGCCCCUCAGCUCACACCGACCCUGGCCGCCAGCAGCGGUUUUCCUAAUAGAAGCCAGGUGUAGGCCAGAUGCCCUGGGCGGAAGUGGGGGGCAGGGCCAUGAGGAGGGCAGCGUUCCAGGCCCUACUGCCCCCGCACCAGCGCACCAGCGGCAGAGCACAGGCACCAGCCCAGCAGCUGCGAGGGGGCAGGAGCCACCCACGCUCUUCCCAGGUCUCCCUGGCCCAGAAGCCCCAUUCAGGGGGGCUUCCUCCAGAACGAGAUCCUCUCCCCCCUCUUCUAGGAACUUGGAGCCCUUUGGACGGCAGCCACUCUGUCUCCACCUCGGCACCAUCGUGGUCCCCCACCCCCCUUUGCUGGCGGAGGAGGCAGGGAAGGAAGAAAAUGUUCAGGCUGGGGGAGCUGGCCCUUCAAUGCCCAGUCAGGGCAGGAACGGGGGUACUACGAACAGUGCCCUGGGACCCCCCUUUCUGAGCACAGAAAGCUCCAGCGAAGCCCCCUGAUCAUACCUGCACUGCUCUGAGACUCUGCUGCCCUGCCAGCCACGGGGCCACAAACCAUAAGCCAACUUCCCUGGGAAGCAGGGCCGCUGGGGAGUGGAGUGGGGAGUGGGCUAAAACCACUCCUGCCUGGCUUGGCUCACCUGUCAGGACGGGACCUCCGUCCGGUCUUCAGCCAGUCAGAAAUGGAACAGACUGGGCCGUCUGGGGCCAAAAGCUGCUACGGCCUACCUGAAGGGGAUUCCGUGUGUGCGCGUGCACACACACGUGCUACAGGUGCAGGGUGGGGGUGGGGGAGGAAAGCCCUGCCAUCCCUGGCUACUGCUGGUCAGGUGUAGGCUGACAAAGUGCCCUCUACCCCACGUAGGGAACAAGUCCUAGGGAUGGGGAAAGGGUAUCUGUGAUGGGCCUGGGGCUUUGCUGCGGAGCUCUUCCCCUGAGCUGUCAGCAGGGCCCUGAUCUUUACCUUCCUCAGGAAAGAAGCCUCUUCAACUUCUAAAAAAUACUUUUUCUUUUUUAAUAUUUAUUUCUUUGGGGGAGAGUGCAAGGCAGGGGAGGGCCAGAGAGAGGGGGACAGAGGAUCCGAAGCGGGCUCUGAGCUGGCAGGCUGACAGCAGUGAGCCUGAUGUGGGGCUCUAACCCAUGAACCGUGAAAUCAUGACCUGAGCCAAGGUCAGACGCUCAACUGACUGAGCCACCCAGGAGCCCCUAGGAAAAAAUUUUUUUAAUGUAAAUCUGAGCAGGGCACCUGGGUGCACUCAGUCAGUUGAGCGUCUGACUUUGGCUCAGGUCAUGAUCUCACAGUUCGUAGGCUCGAACCCCACAUGGGGCUCUCUGCUGUCAGCGUGGAGCCUGCUUCAGAUCCUCCGUCUCCCCCCCUCUGUCCCUCCCCUGUGUGUGUGCAUGCUCUGUCUCAAAAAUAAGUAAAUAUUUUUUUAAAAUGUAAA